CCUACGGGGGGCAGCAGUGAGGAAUAUUGGUCAAUGGACGAGAGUCUGAACCAGCCAAGUAGCGUGAAGGAUGACUGCCCUAUGGGUUGUAAACUUCUUUUAUAUGGGAAUAAAAUGUUCCACGUGUGGGAUUUUGUAUGUACCAUAUGAAUAAGGAUCGGCUAACUCCGUGCCAGCAGCCGCGGUAAUACGGAGGAUCCGAGCGUUAUCCGGAUUUAUUGGGUUUAAAGGGAGCGUAGGUGGAUUGUUAAGGCAGUUGUGAAAGUUUGCGGCUCAACCGUAAAAUUGCAGUUGAAACUGGCAGUCGUGAGUACAGUAGAGGUAGGCGGAAUUCGUGGUGUAGCGGUGAAAUGCUUAGAUAUCACGAAGAACUCCGAUUGCGAAGGCAGCUCACUGGACUGCAACUGACACUGAGGCUCGAAAGUGUGGGUAUCAAACAGGAUUAGAUACCCCAGUAGUC
rnacentral:rRNA from 1 species